GGCAGAAGGAAGCCCAGUUGGGUGUCAUGGGAUGUGAUGACGAGACCAGAAUAUAUGGGGGGCCUCGGAUUCAGAGACAUGGAGAUUUUUAACCUAGCACUUCUUGCACGGUAGGCUUGGUGCACAAUGGUUUCGGAAUCCUCAUUAAGCUCCAGGAUCCUUAAAUUAGUUUACUUUCCAAACUGUUCAUUGCUAGACGCAGAGCUGGGGUCUCAUCCAUCGCAGAUUUGGAGGGCCAUUUUGGAUGGCCGGGACAUUUUGGCACAAGGCUUGAUCAGGAGGAUUGGAGGCGAAGAAACCACAGACAUUUGGGAACACAACUGGAUACCG
rnacentral:rRNA from 1 species